CAGAUAAGGAGCUUGCUCCUUUGACGUUAGCGGCGGACGGGUGAGUAACACGUGGGUAACCUACCUAUAAGACUGGAAUAACUCCGGGAAACCGGGGCUAAUGCCGGAUAACAUGUUGAACCGCAUGGUUCUACAGUGAAAGACGGUCUUGCUGUCACUUAUAGAUGGACCCGCGCCGUAUUAGCUAGUUGGUGGGGUAACGGCCUACCAAGGCGACGAUACGUAGCCGACCUGAGAGGGUGAUCGGCCACACUGGAACUGAGACACGGUCCAGACUCCUACGGGAGGCAGCAGUAGGGAAUCUUCCGCAAUGGGCGAAAGCCUGACGGAGCAACGCCGCGUGAGUGAUGAAGGUCUUCGGAUCGUAAAGCUCUGUUGUUAGGGAAGAACAAAUGUGUAAGUAACUGUGCACAUCUUGACGGUACCUAACCAGAAAGCCACGGCUAACUACGUGCCAGCAGCCGCGGUAAUACGUAGGUGGCAAGCGUUAUCCGGAAUUAUUGGGCGUAAAGCGCGCGUAGGCGGUUUUUUAAGUCUGAUGUGAAAGCCCACGGCUCAACCGUGGAGGGUCAUUGGAAACUGGAAAACUUGAGUGCAGAAGAAGAAAGUGGAAUUCCAUGUGUAGCGGUGAAAUGCGCAGAGAUAUGGAGGAACACCAGUGGCGAAGGCGGCUUUCUGGUCUGCAACUGACUCUGAUGUGCGAAAGCGUGGGGAUCAAACAGGAUUAGAUACCCUGGUAGUCCACGCCGUACACGAUGAGUGCUAAGUGUUAGGGGGUUUCCGCCCCUUAGUGCUGCAGCUAACGCAUUAAGCACUCCGCCUGGGGAGUACGGUCGCAAGACUGAAACUCCAAGGAAUUGACGGGGACCCGCACAAGCGGUGGAGCAUGUGGUUUACUUCGAAGCAACGCGAAGAA
rnacentral:rRNA from 1 species